CGUAGGUGGCGAGCGUUAUCCGGAAUUACUGGGUGUAAAGGGCGUGUAGGCGGGAAUGUAAGUCAGAUGUGAAAUUCCAUGGCUUAACUGUGGGACUGCAACUGAAACUAUAUUUCUUGAGUGCUGGAGAGGAAAGCGGAAUUCCUAGUGUAGCGGUGAAAUGCGUAGAUAUUAGGAGGAACACCAGUGGCGAAGGCGGCUUUCUGGACAGUAACUGACGCUGAGGCGCGAAAGCGUGGGGAGCAAACAGGAUUAGAUACCCUGGUAGUCCACGCUGUAAACGAUGGAUACUAGGUGUAGGGGGUAUCGACCCCCCCUGUGCCGGAGUUAACACAAUAAGUAUCCCACCUGGGGAGUACGGCCGCAAGGUUG
rnacentral:rRNA from 1 species